UGGGGAAUUUUGGACAAUGGGCGCAAGCCUGUUCCAGCCAUGCCGCGUGAGUGAAGAAGGCCUUCGGGUUGUAAAGCUCUUUCAGACGGAAAGAAAUCUCUUGGGCGAAUACCCUGGGAGGAUGACGGUACCGUAAGAAGAAGCACCGGCUAACUACGUGCCAGCAGCCGCGGUAAUACGUAGGGUGCGAGCGUUAAUCGGAAUUACUGGGCGUAAAGCGUGCGCAGGCGGUUUUGUAAGACAGAGGUGAAAUCCCCGGGCUCAACCUGGGAACUGCCUUUGUGACUGCAAGGCUGGAGUGCGGCAGAGGGGGAUGGAAUUCCGCGUGUAGCAGUGAAAUGCGUAGAGAUCGGGAGGAACACCAGUGGCGAAGGCGGCUACCUGGACCAGCACUGACACUGAGUCACGAAAGCGUGGGGAGCAAACA
rnacentral:rRNA from 1 species